CGAACGGGUGAGUAACACGUGGGCAACCUGCCCAAAGAGGGGGAUAACACUUGGAAACAGGUGCUAAUACCGCAUAACCAUAGUUACCGCAUGGUAACUAUGUAAAAGGUGGCUAUGCUACCGCUUUUGGAUGGGCCCGCGGCGCAUUAGCUAGUUGGUGGGGUAAAGGCCUACCAAGGCAAUGAUGCGUAGCCGAACUGAGAGGUUGAUCGGCCACAUUGGGACUGAGACACGGCCCAAACCCCUACGGAAGGCAGCAG
rnacentral:rRNA from 1 species